rnacentral:misc_RNA from 1 species
GGACUGUGCAGACGUGUUUUGAAUUAAGCUUUUAUUAAAGUUCCAGUGACAAAGCUCCGGAUGCGGGGCCCCGCCGGCCUUUGGCUGGUCGCGUGGCUGACCGCCGCUGUUCUGUCCUCCGCCCUAGGCCAGACUUGUCAGAGGUCGAUGCUUCCUUGGCGAACAGCCGACGGAACCGACCCUGUGAAAAUGGCGCGAGGAAACGUGACGGUGGUGGCGCUGCUGUUGGCCAGCUGACCUAUGUGUCAGCAGCAGGCAGAAGGUUUGGAAAGAUUGAAGACAUCAUAUCAACAGAUAGGUAAAAGAGACAUCACAUUCUUAAUUGUCAACCAUGUCGCUGCAAAGGACUCAAUAAACGAACUGACAAGGCGAGUGUCAUUUCCGGUCUACCAAGAUGACAACACUUUGUCGAUACAACAAAAACUCAACGCAAGCAUAGACGACCUAUUCCUUUAUGACAGAUGCAGUACACUCGUGUAUCACUUAAAAAAACCUGAAAGUCUAGUGUCCCAGGGGACCAUGCAAAGCAACUUGCUGACCACCUACUUAAACAACCCUUGCAAUUGCACUAACAACUCUAACUCAAAUGUAGCGACUGAGCCGACACCAAAAGAGCAACUAACAGGAUCUGGCAGUUCACAUACUUCCAUCACUCGCAGAAAAAGACAUAUUGUAAACAACUUUGGUUCAUCGUUGGUAUCGAUGAACAGCGUUGUUUCUCAUAACGGUCGUGUUCCAAAGUGAACUACUCAUAGAUGAGUUGCCAUGCGUCGAAAUCGAGCGCUGCGAUACCUUUUGGUGCGAAGACUAUGAAAAUUUAUUAAGAAGUAUCGGUCAAAUUAUGAACCUCAACACUCAUGUGUCUGUCCCAAUCCAUCGCCUGCUCUGAAACAAGAGUGCACCUGAUACGGUUAUGGAAUCUCGAAUUCAGUCAGUUUCUGAUCAUGUCAAGAGCGCAGUAACACUGUUUAUAGCGAAUGUAUUUGCAAUAAUUGUCCUGCGUUUCGGAGACGGCAUCGUCAGCAGUUCGUAGAUGAUGACACCAACUGUGAACUUCUGACGAGCUGACACUGUAACCAGGAAAAUGGUUUGUCGGCAACAGAAUGCUCGUGACAACAUCAGCUCGCGGCGUUAGAGCAACAUCCGAGCUGACAUUGUCACCUAGAAGCAGACGAUUCCUUGCAAGACUGUCAGUGACAAGGGUCUCGAGGAUCCUGAUCCUGACAGGAAGUUGGUACCAACAUCCAGUGACAGUGACCGUCCGAAGGCGCUUCCUGUCUCUGAGAGAGUGGGUCACCAACUUGACAAUGACAACAAAUGCCGGUAAGAGACAUUUCCUGACAUGACCCAUGGGAAAUACGGUUGAUGCAUAUGUCAGCUGCUCUAAUCCCAGUGCGUUGACUGGCCACUGACAAUGACCGCUGGAAACAAUCAGUACGCGUAACUGACAGUGACAGAGUGAUCAGUCAGGUGUUAACUCCUGAUCCUGACAAAACAGCAUAGGGUCUUGACAAUGACACACAAUGGACGACUCUAAUCUUUCUUGACAGUGCCAAGACUCAACACAGACUACCGAGACCUGAUACUGUCAAACACCUGUAGACUCCACCAACGACUCUGUCUGACAGUGUCGUGCAGUCACCGGGUCUUGACAGUGACAGACUCAGACCUCAGGAGGCAUUGUUUGACAGGAAAAAGCCGGUCGCUCCUGAAAUUGACAUCCUAUGUGACACUGACAAGUCAGUACCUGAUACUGUCGAACAGGGACAUAUGACGACCGCGCCCACUGUCUUUGACAACCACAGACCUGACAGUGACAAUAUUAGAGAGUAGGGUCUCGUCAAAUCGUCUCUACUGGUAAACAUGUUUUAGGGUCGAGAUGCAAAGACUGUCUUAAGUUUGACCAACGAUUCACUAGCAAUAAUUUUCUUAUUGCAAUGUGUAAUAAUUUCUUUCCAAUGUUGUAUAGCGCAUCUGUAAUCAGUGCCAUGAAGAUCGAUUUGCUGCACAUUCCGUUUCGUCCUCUGUCAAUGACGAUUUCCAGAUAAAACCUAACAGGUCUCCGGGGGUCUGAUCCAAUCAGAGGACGGCGGGAUAUGUGAAAUCUUUCUGAUGACAUUGACUAACUAGAUGCGUUAUACAACAUAUUGUUUAUGUACCUCAUCUCAUUGUUUUUUCUACGGCAUUUUUUUUAAUGAUUAACACGGUAAAGAAUUGUAUACUCUAAAACCUGUAUAAAAAAAUUUCUGAAAUAUUUUAAUUCUGAAGAAAACAAUUAAUAUUUCUAACUAACUUCCAGCCUAUUUUGUUUUCUGUUACUUCUUUUUUGUUUUUGUUUUUGUUUAAAGUAGACUCUAUAUCAUGUCAUCAUAUUUUCAGAAAAAGAAAAAUUCUAACUAUGUAGACCCUGCUAUAUCCGGCCAUGAAAUGUCACCCUGAAACUUUAAAAAGAGGGGUGGUUUUGAAUAAUUUGGAUCAAUAGGCAGCAUCUACAUUGCUACUUUUUUCUUCAGUAUGAUCAAUAUUCAUCUUUACAAUACAAAAAACUUAAUAUGUAUAAUGUACCUACAAAAUAAACAUGAAAACUAG